rnacentral:tRNA from 2 species
GCCGCUAUAGUAUAAUGGUUAUUACAAUGCAUUGGUAAUGCUUAAAUUCAAGUUCGACUCUUGAUAGUGGCACCA